rnacentral:rRNA from 1 species
CCUACGGGAGGCAGCAGUGGGGAAUAUUGGACAAUGGGCGCAAGCCUGAUCCAGCAAUACCGCGUGAGGGAUGAAGGCCUUCGGGUCGUAAACCUCUGUCAGUUGGAACGAUGGGUUCUGUAGGUAAUAUUUGCAGAACUUGACGGUACCUUCAAAGGAAGCCCCGGCUAACUCCGUGCCAGCAGCCGCGGUAAUA